rnacentral:rRNA from 1 species
CCCUUAGAUGUUCUGGGCCGCACGCGCGCUACACUGAUGAAUUCAACGAGCACUAACCUGUGCCGAAAGGUUCGGGUAAUCUUGUGAAAUUUCAUCGUGAUGGGGAUUAAUUAUUGCAAUUUUUAAUCAUAAACGAGGAAUGCCUAGUAAGCGUGAGUCAUCAGCUCACGUUGAUUACGUCCCUGCCCUUUGUACACACCGCCCGUCGCUCCUACCGAUUGAAUGUGCCAGUGAAAAGUUCGGAUUGGAGAUAGGAGACGGCAACGUAUCCUAUUUCCGAGAAAAUCUUUAAACUUUCCCAUUUAGAGGAAGGAGAAGUCGUAACA